GAGGCCUCUAUUCAAUAGAUGCUUCUGUCCUGUCAUGGAUGAAUGUGUGGAUGAGUGAGAAGAAGAUGGAGAGGAGGCUUCUGGUGAUUCCAAGGACUCUCGUGUUCUUCCCUUCUGCAAAUCCGGAUCUUUCGCCUGCAAAUGUAAGUCGUUUACUUUACUUCUUACUAGAAUUCAUUUAUGGUAUAGGCAGCUAUAUAUAGAAAGGAAAUGCAGUUUUCUCUCCUCUCUUUUUUUUUUUUUUUCAAGAAAUGAGAAACUGAUUUAUGUUAAAGAGUCUUACUAUGACUGCUUUUGUUGCAUUACGAGGCUCCAAUUGUUGUUGGGAACCUUGAGAAAACAAGAAACAAAUGCCAGCAAUUUUAGCCAAAUAGAUUAACAACUAUACAAGUUAUAUAGCAGUUGGUUUUUUACUACGAGUACAAGAUAAUUAAACAUAUCAAGCCUUAUCCCAUAUUGUCGAACAAACGAGCCUUAGGUGUAGAAUUGAACCCUCUAAUUAGAAGCUAUGCACAUUGUUAUCACAACUUAUAUAACACACACACACACGACUUGAAACUUACAAUAUCACGUUAAUUAGAGAAUUUUAUAAGCAUGAUUUAAUGUUCUGAAUAAAUGUUGGUGUGCUAUGUUACAUAAAAUUAUUCAAAUUAUGCUGUGCUUUUCAUGAAAAAAAGUGACAUAUUUUCAGGUGAUCAGCUUGUUGAAUGAAUGUUGCAAGCUACCUAUUAGUAGCUUCUUGCGUGGGUGGCUCCCAAAACUCCGACCAACGAAAAAGAGGCGAUGAUCGAAGAGCUGAAAUAUGCCGUUGAUGCACCCAAUCUGCCUCGGCAGCACAUCUUCAUUUCCAUCUGAAGUUUUCACCAUCUUUGCUGCGAAAAUCGCUCUCUUCUUCAGUAACCUGAUCAAGAAUUACGACUGUAACUGUAAGCAUAUAUACAUAUUUGCAUAUUGAACGAUCAAUCUCUCCGCAAAUGUGCAGAAAAAAGAGAAGAGGAGAACUCACAGAUGAAGAGAAGGAUGUUAAAUUUGAAAAGAUUUUUUUGGUGGUGUGAAGAAAGGUGAAUGCAAGAGGAGAGGGAAUGUUUAUAUAUACAAAGAUAAGUUUAAUGUUGUAGUAAUAUAUUUGAGUUUGAGAGACAAUGUAACGUGCAUGGGCACGUGUAUUCUGUCAAUGUCAUUAC
rnacentral:lncRNA from 1 species